ensembl:snoRNA LOC120101123 small nucleolar RNA U3
AAGACUAUACUUUCAGGGAUCAUUUCUAUAGUUCGUUACUAGAGAAGUUUCUCUGACUGUGUAGAUAAAGUAAGCCCAUUUGC